ACGAACGCUGGCGGCGUGCUUAACACAUGCAAGUCGAACGGAAAGGCCCUGCUUUUGUGGGGUGCUCGAGUGGCGAACGGGUGAGUAACACGUGAGUAACCUGCCCUUGACUUUGGGAUAACUUCAGGAAACUGGGGCUAAUACCGGAUAGGAGCUCCUGCUGCAUGGUGGGGGUUGGAAAGUUUCGGCGGUUGGGGAUGGACUCGCGGCUUAUCAGCUUGUUGGUGGGGUAGUGGCUUACCAAGGCUUUGACGGGUAGCCGGCCUGAGAGGGUGACCGGCCACAUUGGGACUGAGAUACGGCCCAGACUCCUACGGGAGGCAGCAGUGGGGAAUAUUGCACAAUGGGCGGAAGCCUGAUGCAGCAACGCCGCGUGCGGGAUGACGGCCUUCGGGUUGUAAACCGCGUUCGCCUGUGACGAAGCGUGAGUGACGGUAAUGGGUAAAGAAGCACCGGCUAACUACGUG
rnacentral:rRNA from 1 species